AUCAGAUACCGCCCUAGUUCUAACCAUAAACGAUGCCAGCCAGCAAUCCGCCUGUGUUCCUCAAAUGACACGGCGGGCGGCUUCCGGGAAACCAAAGCUUUUGGGUUCCGGGGGAAGUAUGGUUGCMAAGCUGAAACUUAAAGGAAUUGACGGAAGGGCACCACCAGAAAUGGAGCCUGCGGCUUAAUUUGACUCAACACGGGGAAACUUACCCGGCCCGGACACAGGAAGGAUUGACAGAUUAAGAGCUCUUUCUUGAUUCUGUGGGUGGUGGUGCAUGGCCGUUCUUAGUUGGUGGGGCGACUUGUCUGGUUAAUUCCGAUAACGAACGAGACUCUAGCCUACUAAAUAGACGUUCCGAUCCUCUUUCGUCGGACGUUCUUCUUAGAGGGACAAGCGGCGUUUAGCCGCACGAGACAGAGCAAUAACAGGUCUGGGAUGCCCUUAGAUGUCCGG
rnacentral:rRNA from 1 species